rnacentral:tRNA from 1 species
GCUCCUAUAGCUCAGUUGGUAGAGCGCGACACUAGUAUCGCUAUUCAAUCGCGGCAAUGUCGAGGUCUACGGUUCAAAUCCGUAUGGGAGCA